UUUUUUUUUUUUUUUUUUUUUUUGUCUUUUGUUGUUUUAGGGCUGCACCUGCAGCAUAUGGAGGUUCCCCGGCUAGGGGUAAUCAGAAUUGUAGCUGCCAGCCUACACCAGAGCCACAGCAACGCGGGAUCCGAGCCGUGUCUGCGACCUACACCACAGCUCACAGCAAUGCCGGAUCCUUAACCCACUGAGCGAGGCCAGGGAUUGAACCUGCAACCUCAUGGUUCCUAGUUGGAUUUGUUUCCACUGCGCCAUGACGGGAACUCUGAGCAUGGGCUCUUGAGUUAAGCGGGCUGGAUGUGGACAGCACUGCUCCUCUUUCCUAGUUGAAUCACUCCAGUCAGGUGUUUAAUCUUGGUGUUUGAGUUUUCUCAUCUGUAAACUAGGGGCAAUAAUAGUUUUUCCUCACAGGGUUGUUGAGAACACAAAAGAAAACCCCUCAUGUACACUUGGAAUUGCGCGUGCGUGAGCGGGUAAUGUAAAUUAGGGUUAGUGGUCACUGUAACUCCUAAGUGAUAUGAGGCCGAAGCAGUGGUCUUAAAGGAAAGAAAACACCAUCUCGGUACCGGGUCAUCAUUCCACAGGGUAAAUAACACUUCCAGGGAGAAGUGGUGUGCCCGUAUCUGUGUCUGGUACUUUGGGUGAGGUGAGGGCAGAGUGUGGGCACCUCAAGGAUGGGACUGAGGGUGCUUCAUCAGCGGUGGGUUAAGCUCCCAACCUGCUUUUGCCCAGGUCCUCCUCCCUGAUUAAGAUGGAAAGACGCAAUAGCAGAUGCUACAGUAGGAGUGAAGUUAAGAUCCCACUCUCGUGGUUUGAAGUAUUCACAUCAAUGUGCUCAUUCUUGAAGAUGGAUCGUCAGGAAUUUAUUCAUGGAGACUUAGGCGACAUUCAUGAAUGGACAGAGAAUUUUAUGGUGAUUAACAGAGAAGCUUGUGGAGUCCCACAGAUCUGGGUAUGAGUGCUAACAUUAUUCUUUUUCUUCUGUGUGAUCACAGCCCUUUUCGCUUCAGUUUAUUUAUCUGAAAAAUAGGAGUCAUAAUAAGACCCACCUCAUUGGGUGGUUGUGAUAAGGGUGCUAAACCACGGAAUCCCAUUGUUUUGAGCCGUAAGAGCGGCUCAAAGAAAAGAGGACGAGGAGGAAAUGGUGUCAGACAGACAGGGUGACGUGCUGACUGAAUUCCCCUGAACGGUGCUUAGGGUCGUUUAACUGGAAAACUGGGUGAGAUGGCAGACAAGUGGAUAAGACAAAUACUGUUCUCCUCGUGUAUAUUAGGGAUUUUUUCUAAGUUCGUUACUCACUGAAGUCACUGUCUUCUUAAUCUCUCCAUCAUUUUUGAAACCUUAUGUCUUAGAAGUAGCAGUUAAUUGAAAAAUGUGUUACUUUAAUACAUUUCAAAUACACCGAAAGAGAUGUAUCUCUUUACUUUACUCUUAUGGACAAUGGAAUAUAUCUUACCAGCCACACUUCCUUUAUAGUUUUUAGGAUUCUUUCCUGUGGGGAAAUGCUUGUGAUGGUCCCUUUUUAAUUCUUUUGUAUGAGUUGGAAGUAGGAGGUAUUUCUGGGAAAAGAUGUAAAAUAUUCAGUCAGUGAUGUCAGCUGUACAUCUGAUGUCUACACCUGCAGAGGAAGAGGCGAAGGAAGCCGGUGCUACAGAUUUCUCUAGAGAUAAAGUGAGUAGUCAGGAAAUCUUAUUCAGCAUUUGAUCAGCUGUAUUCAGAUGUGUCAUUUGAUUUUAAAACUGUUUCAACAUCAGGCAGACAUAAAGCAAAUUCUUCUAGAUGGCCUUUCCAGAAAGGAGUGUGCCAGGAGACUGUCCUGUGACUAUGUGCACAUUUAUAUUUAUAGAAGCCGGGACUUAAGUAUGUGUAUUAUGUGUGUAUUUCUAUGUAUGUGUGUGUAUUCAUGUUUCUCUGUAUCCAGGUACAUGCACAGGCGUCUGAGUAAAAUACCAGUAUUUACUAUUGAUUGACCUGAAAGUCUACCCAAUCUUUAGUAAAAUGUAAAGACUACUAUGAACUUUUGAGAUGGUUUAUGGAUGGUAAAACACUUUUCUGUUGAAACAAGCCUUCCAAAAUAGGAUUUAAUGGUAGGUUGUUGCAUUAGUGUGAGAAACUAGAAAUUCUGGGCUUCUUAAUGGGCAGGCACCAUGGGUGCUUUGCACAGUAUCUGGCUCCAAAGCCAGCUUUGGAUCCUGCCUGGCUCACUGGGCUUUCCUCCCAGGUUUUCUGAUCAGAAAAUUGAAGGCCAGCUGCUGCCUGUCAUUAGGAAGCUUACUGAAAGUCAACAUGGGGUGGAAGCUGGCUGGGGGCUGAUGGGGCACUGUCCACACUCUGACCAAAGGCUCAUCAAGAGCGGGCCUAUGCUAAUGCUACUUAGGAUUGCUGCAUGAUGUCUCUGCUCUACAAGCAGCUCCAGAGAGGUAACAGGCCAGUUUCAGAAUGUUCUAUUAUUGUAGAUAUAUGUCACAUGUCAUAUGGCAUUCUUUGUUCUCAGGCAAAAUAAAGAGAUUCCCUUUACGUUGGUCUAGAGCUUUUAUUGAAGUAAUUCCUUGUCCUCUCGAUUUUCAACAGGAGUCUAAUCAUGCCUGUCAAAUCCUUUUUGUGAUAGAGCAAAGCCUCAAAGGAUGAUUUAUUUUCUGACCUUCCUUAAUGAAGAUAAUCAGAUCAUGCCCCGUAGCCUAAGAGAUGUGUCCUUGGUCCGUUGUCGUGGUUAGUGCUGCUGCGUAUGUUGUACUUGGUCUCAUAUGCUAAACUGCAAAAAUCCUCUAAAUCCCUCUAAAUGUCUUGGCUGAAUGAUCUCCUCUGGCAGUUGAUUACUCAGGUCGCCCAUAUACUGGGUAUUCUGAAUUUGCCCUACUUGUAUCAGACUGUUUCAUACAAUGUCAUACUUUUAUUUAGCAAAGGCUAUUUGAAUAAAAAGAAAAUGCUGACGUUGAAUGGAAGGGCCAGAGGCCUUAUGGAAUGCCAGAGGAAUUCUACAAAUACUCUUUCUUAGUGGCCUACGCAAUUGGGAUCUAAUUCUUCUUGGGCAGCAAGUAAAAACUGAGCUUCUAAAUGGCAUGAGUCACUGAGUCAAAGGGCUUGGUGCUGUGCCAUGCAAACAGCUCUGCUUUUUUGUAGCCUGCAGCAAGGAUGGAAGCCAGCUUUCAGAGAAGACUGAGCCUCUCAGAAAGAAGAGAAACUCAAAUCACUCUUAGGUGACAAGAAAUGAUCAUAGUUGAAGAAAUAAUGAAUCUAUUGAAAAGGAAGGCCACCGUUACACCAACGCUGUUGACACUCAUCAGCUCUGUAGAGUGUGUGUGUGCACCUGUGCCUGCGUGUGUAUAUUUUUAUCUCUAGGUUUUAAGUAAUAGAAAGCUGAUUACACUUCUUCUAACAUUCUUAACUUCUUCCUCACUCUCAGGCUCUCUCCCCCUCUUCCUCUGUCCUCCUCUCUCUGUCCUUGUCUCUUCCUCUCUCCUUCUCCCUGUUUCUUUUCCAAACAGCCAAUGUGUUACAUUUUAGGGGAGAAGGGGAGUCUGUGGGGUAGAAGGAAAAGAAAGCAGAUGUUUAUACCUUGUUAAAUUGUCAAAAGUCUUAAUGCUCUUUUCUCAGUAUUUCACCUCCUCUCUCAUGUCACAUGAUUCUUCUACCUUUGCAGUCUUGAGCACACGAAACUACUUAUAUACUGGCAGAGUUUCUGUCACAUGUUGAGGUACUAAUUUUUAAACAAAUUUUGCAUAAUUUAUGUCUCUGCUUAUUUUCAGCCAGCAGGUCUGUUUAAUGCUAGUGGCAAACAAAAUCCUAAAGGGAAAAUCUUACUAAGACCUUGCUGUUGAAACAACAAAAAAAAAAUGCUAAUAAAUUUUAUGUCUUUUAGCAGAGGAUUAUGGGUGCUAUUUCACACACUUGCAAUUACGGACAUUUUAUUUGAUCAUUGCUAUUGCCCACGGUGGAGGUGGGGGCGGGGCAUAGCUAGUCUGCUGUCCUGAAAAUGUUGUCAUGGAGAAGGGAACAGCCACUCAGGAUUCUGUAAACAUCUAUCCUCGUCUAUCUGUGCCAAGAAAAAAAGGGGGGGGACCAACUUAGCCCGUCUCCCAGUGUUUAAAUAAAUGCACCCAGUUAUUUUAACCAGUUUCCACUGACUUGUCAAAAAUCAUUGUGUAUAAUGAAGGUCUGCCAUUGGUAAGACUGGAUGGAAAUAUUGUGCAGUGUUGGAUUUUGUUAGUUGAAAUCUGGCAGGACAGUCUGCAUUUUUACUUGGAAAGAGGGUUCCUCAACCAGAGUGAGUUUGCUGUUGGGUUUUAGAGUGCUAACAUAUCAGAUCAGGUGGCUCUAGGCAAAAACAAAUUGGUCCCAACGGGAAAGUGAGUCAAGAAAGAAAAGCAGGAGGAGGUGAGACACUUUUCACGUGUGGAUAGAAGAUUAGAAGACACUUUUCCAGAGCCUCCUUACUGGGCCUCACAAUGGAAAGCAGGCGAUACACAAUAGGAUAAUUGUUUUUACUUCAUAUGAUUUGCAAUCGCCUAUUCUUUUUUUUUAAAUACAAUUUUGCUUUAAUACAUCCCAAGUGAGGAAAACCCAAGUAAGAGGGGAAAAAAAAGAAUUCAUGAGCAAUUUAAUUCUGGCAAAAUACGUCUGUGGUCUAAGAGCCUACUGAUUGGAAAGCAAUACUGAUGGUGAUAGUUUCUGGACUUGUUUCUUAUUUAACGUCGCUGGCAUGUGUGUCUGUGGGUCAGGUGUUUAAUUGUUUGUGUCAUAAGUGCAUGAUUUUAACAAUAAUGAAAAAUAUGCAGUGUGUUCUCUCACCCUGACUUCCGUAAGUGGGCUCUAAGUUAGAGGUUGUGCUCAAGACCAUAGAAUGUUGCUGUGGGCAUUUCUGUUAUUUAACUCUCAGGAUCUUGUGGUAGCAUAUUAGUUUCUUGUUGGAUAUUAACAAAAACGUCAUCCAGGGGAACAGUCAGUUGUAUUAAGCAUGAGUGGUAGGGUGUGCUGACCUGACCUCCUUAUUUGUAUUCCUCAAAUUGCAGCAGUUAAUUCAUGGUACCUACUAAGGUGGACUUCCCAAUAGACUGAGACUGCCUUGUGGGUAAGACUGCAGCAUACCAAUAUUUAUAUUCAGUGCAGUUACUGACAUAUAGUAGAUAUUAAGUGAAUACUUACUGAACAGAUCCCUCCAUGAUUUAUAUUUAUUUCCAGCAAAUCUUUUAUCAUGUCAAAGAAGAAGUUUAUGGAAGAAACGGACCAUCCCAUACAAUUGUGAACUGUAUUUGCUUUGCUGUGUGUGUGUUUAACUUGAAUAUUUGUCAUCUUCACACAGUUCUAAUUAGCUCUAUGCCAGAGACAUUUGUCUGGCAGAUGAAGAAUAAGCAGGAAAGUUAUGUACUGAAUUGUAGAGUUGUUUAUCUUAAGUAGGGGGAAACUUACCUUAAGAACACAAGAUUUACUGCGUUUAUAGCUUUUAUUUAAAUGUCUGGUCCAUUCGCCAUCUCUGAGCAGCAUGUCAUUUUGGUCACAUAACUAGUGACUCAAAGUUGGGGCUCUGGGUCCACGCAAAUCCGAGUCCAAAUCCCAGCUCUACUCCUUUCCUAAAAUUGACACUGGACAAGGGGCUUGAUCUCUCUGAAUCUCUUGUACUCAAGGAGAAUAAUAAUAGCAUUCAGGGGAUGGCUGCAAUGUACUCUAAAGCCUUUGCAAGUGUGUGAUACAUGCAAAAACUCAAAAAAUGAUAGUUUUUGAUUAUUUGAAUGUAUUAAAUGAACAGGUUUUCUUUGUACAGAUCUUGGAUUUGAUCAAAUUUUAGCCUUUUUAAAAGUUGUAGUUAUUUAUAAUGUUGCGGAGGUAUAGCAAAGUGAUUCAGUUAUAUAUACAUACAUACAUAUAUAUAUACACACACAUAUUCCUACAUUCUUUUUCAGAUUCUUUUCCAUUAUAUAUUAUUGUAAUAAAACAACCUGAAAAAGUUUAGCCUUUUUAUCAAAUCGUCUCUCUCUAUAUAUAUAUGUAUGUAUUUUUGUCUUUUAGGGCCUCAUCUUCAGUAUAUGGCAGUUCCCAGCUUAGGGGCCGAAUCUGAGCUGCAGCUGCUGGCCUACACCCCAGCUUUAAGUGGCACCUGCAGCCUGCACCACAGCUCGCAGCAACGCCGGGUCCUCACCCCAGUGAGCAAGGCCAGAGAUCGUGGAUACUAGUUGGGUUCAUCACUGCUGAUCCACGAUAGAAACUCCCCAUCUUCGUGUUUAUUGAUAAAUACAUUGGGACAUAAAUAUUUUACUCUUUAAAUACCAGUACAGUUAAAAUUUAAAUGUAUUGCCACCAGCGUAUAUAAUUUACAGUUCAGCUAUCUUAGUUUUCAAGUAAAAUUGCAUAAAAAUUUUUUCCUCAGAUUUAUUUCUGAUACUCACAUAUUCAGCCAAUUUCAUAGAUGAUGAUAGAGUGGGUCAGUAUAUUUUAGCAUAUCUUUAUACUUUUAAAGACUCCUUAAAUGCUCAAUUCUUGAAGCAGUCAUUUCCAGAUGCUGUACUGGGUCCUGAGAAUGGAGGAUGUAAAUGACACCUCUCAGCUUUCCAGGCACUCAGAGGCUAAGAAAGAAAAACAUUUCAGGAAGGUCCCAUCAUCAUGGCUCAGCGGAAACGAAUCUGGCUAGUAUCAAUUAGGAUGUGGGUUUGAUCCCUGUCCUUGCUCAGGGAGCUAAGGAUCCAGCGUUGCCGUGAGCUGUAGUGUAGGUCACAGACGCGGCUCAGCUCUGGCAUUGCUGUGCUGUGGUGUAGGCCAGUGGCUACAGCUACAAUUCAGCCUCUGGGCUGGGAACCUCCAUAUGCAGCAAGUGAGCCCUAAAAAGACCAAAAAAAAAAAAAACCCACUUUUUAGUACAUUAGUCACCAAAACAGAGAAGCUUGUAUAAUGUACAGAAAUAACAGGAAGUAGUGAGUAACUGUUGAGGGGGUGGUGGACCUAGGUAGCUGUUUUGGGGGUUGUGUUUGAACGAGGCUGGUGUGUUUGGGCAUCCAUGUGCAGUUUGACUUUGCCAGAAAGUAGAGUUGAUAGGUUGGGUGGAGAAAGGUAAAAUAAAGUUGUUGAUCCGAGUGAGAUCAUGAAGAGUUAAGGCCGCUCCUCCGUGUAUCCGUGGAUUUGAUUUCCUGCCAGUUCAGGAGCUUGGAGUCAUGAUCAGGCCACCUCAAAGGGCAAUAGGCUGAUAGGGAUCUGUGUCCAUCUUUCUGUAAAACGGUUUUCACAUAGGGUGAAAUGAGCAUGUGAUGUGGAAGCCCCGAAGAAGAACUCUUUCAAAGGAGAGAGUUGAUAGAAGAGUUAAGUGAUAUUUGGGGUCCAAAGGAGCAACUCCUUCCUAACGCCUGUUCCUUCUCUUUGGGGAUAAGUUUGACACCACCAAUAAAAUACAUCACUACCCGCUUGUCUGUGUUCCUGUAUCAGAUUGUAUUGGCCCCUGAUUGAUAAUAGUCAUGUGAUGCGAAAUGACUUUUUCUAUGUCUCUCUUGUUCACUAAGCCAUAAAAUCUUGAUAUCCCCAGUGUACAGAGCAGAUACUCAAUAAAUACUCAAACUCUUUAUCUUCUGGGCUUAGAAAUGUUCAGUGACAUUAAGAAAAUAUCAUAUUUUUAGUCAAUUGAAUAAAUCUUGGCCAGCAUAGUGAUUAUGGUUGUGAUUAAGUUUUAGAGGAUCUUGAGUUAAUUGUAUUUUCAAGGAGGGGUUUUAGUAGACUUUUAUAUGAAAUUCAUGGGACAAAUAUUGGGUGUUGGGAACAGUUUGAGUGCUGGGGAUAUAAACAUGAAAAUACACACCUUCUUGUUUCAAUAGCUCCCAGUUUCUGCCCUCUCAUACAUGCAAACAAUUGAAAUACAAUAAGAAAACAGAGGUGUGUACAAAAUACAAUAUGUGGGAGUUCCCAUCGUGGUGCAGUGGAAACAAACCUGACUCGUGUCCAUGAGGAUGCAGGUUCAAUCCCUGACUUCGCUCAGUGGGUUAAGAAUCUGGCGUUGUCCCGAGCUGUGGUGUAGGCUGCAGAUGCUGCUCGGAUCCUGCAUUGCUGUGGUUGUGGCUGUGGCCGGCACUUGCAGCUCCAAUUUGACCUCUAGCCUGGGAACUUCCAUAUGC
rnacentral:lncRNA from 1 species